rnacentral:rRNA from 1 species
CCUACGGGGGGCAGCAGUAGGGAAUAUUGCUCAAUGGGGGAAACCCUGAAGCAGCAACGCCGCGUGGAGGAUGAAGGUUUUCGGAUUGUAAACCUCUUUUGUUAGAGAAGAAAAUGACGGUACCUGACGAAUAAGCACCGGCUAACUACGUGCCAGCAGCCGCGGUAAUACGGAGGGUGCAAGCGUUAAUCGGAAUCACUGGGUGUAAAGGGCGCGUAGGCGGGAUAGCAAGUCUGAUGUGAAAUGCUAGGGCUUAACCCUAGAACUGCAUUUGAAACUGUUAUUCUAGAGUAUGGGAGAGGUAGGUGGAAUUCGUGGUGUAGGGGUAAAAUCCGUAGAGAUUAAGAGGAAUACUCAUUGCGAAGGCGGCCUGCUGGA